rnacentral:rRNA from 1 species
GAUAUGGGUCUAAAUAUCCUAAAUGCACCAGAUCCUGUCUGAUCUUGGAAGCUAAGGAGGGUCAGCCCUGGUUAGCAUUUGGAUGGGAGACCGCCUAAUGAAUACCAGGUACUGUAGACU